AGGGCUGUAGCUCAGUGGUAGAACACUUGCUCUGCAUGCAGAAGGUCCCGGGUUCAAGCCCCAAUAGCAUUU